UUAAUAAGUCAGUGGUGAAAUCCCAUCGUCUUAACGAUGGAACUGCCAUUGAUACUGUUAGUCUUGAAUGAGGGUGCAGUGGUUGGAAUGUGUAGUGUAGCGGUGAAAUGCAUAGAUAUUACACAGAACACCGAUUGCGAAGGCAGAUCACUAACCCUAAAUUGACGCUGAGGGACGAAAGCGUGGGGAGCGAACAGGAUUAGAUACCCUGGUAG
rnacentral:rRNA from 1 species